GAGUGGACGCAUCACUGGUGUUCGGGUUGUCAUGCCAAUGGCACUGCCCGGUAGCUAAAUGCGGAAGAGAUAAGUGCUGAAAGCAUCUAAGCACGAAACUUGCCCCGAGAUGAGUUCUCCCUGACUCCUUGAGAGUCCUGAAGGAACGUUGAAGACGACGACGUUGAUAGGCCGGGUGUGUAAGCGCAGCGAUGCGUUGAGCUAACCGGUACUAAUGAACCGUGAGGCUUAACCUUACAACGCCGAAGGUGUUU
rnacentral:rRNA from 1 species